rnacentral:RNase_P_RNA from 1 species
CAAGUCAGCCGAACGGCCGCGGGCAUAUGGCGAAAGCCUGUGCGUGAGGAAAGUCCGGGCUCCACAGGGCAAGGAUAACGGGUAACGCCCGCCAGGGGUGACCCUCGGACAAGUGCAACAGAGAUAUACCGCUUUUGAAAUACAUUGUAUUUUCGAAAGUAAGGGUGGAAAGGCGAGGUAAGAGCUCACCCGCCGCAUGGAGACAUGCCGGCGCUGUAAACUCUAUCCGGAGCAACACCGCGGAGAGAGCACAUGGCCUGCCCGGCCGCUCUCAGGAGGUGGCUUGAGCCUGUGAGCAAUCGCAGGUCACAGACAGAUGGCCGUUUUCAACAGAACCCGGCUUACAGGCUGACUCGCUUU